AGGGCCUCACAAUUAACCAAGGUUUUCAAUGAACAAAAGAAAAAAGACUCGAGUUCUGGAACAUGCAAUAAAGCUUAUCCAAUGUUCCUUCUAGCCAUAGCAGAUAUGACACAAAAGGAAAAGAGAAAGAUGGAAAGGUCGAGGUAGAUUAGGGAAGAGACAACCGUAUAACGUUUCUAGCUGACCAGGCUUUGAAGGAGCCAAAAUUAAAAUAUAAGGUGAAUGAUUUGGAAGUUGAAACAAUAAUCCAGUCAUUAUGAGCGGUAGCCAUAACCAGUACUCCUCCAUGAGGGUCUUCAAAGGCAAAAGGUGGAAGCGUUAAAAGAAAGAAAUGGAGCAGGCAAAAGGGAG
rnacentral:lncRNA from 1 species